UACGGGGGGGGGCAAGCGUUGUUCGGAAUUACUGGGCGUAAAGGGCGCGUAGGCGGCCUUCUAAGUCGGACGUGAAAUCCCUCGGCUUAACCGAGGAACUGCGUCUGAUACUGGAAGGCUUGAAUCCGGGAGAGGGAUGUGGAAUUCCAGGUGUAGCGGUGAAAUGCGUAGAUAUCUGGAGGAACACCGGUGGCGAAGGCGGCAUCCUGGACCGGCAUUGACGCUGAGGCGCGAAAGCUAGGGGAGCAAACGGG
rnacentral:rRNA from 1 species